GCGUUGGUGGUAUAGUGGUGAGCAUAACUGCCUUCCAAGUAGUUGACCUAGGUUUGAUUCCGGGCCAACGCA
rnacentral:tRNA from 1 species